CCGCAGCUAAUUAAGCCGACCAGGCUCCUUUCCUCAUAGGGACCUGGUGUGCAGUGGCUGCGAACAGCAACCUCCUUGGUCGUGUAUGCAGCCUGUUGCUUGUAUGGGUUGCUCUAAGGGGCCUUGGAGACAAUC
ensembl:snoRNA SNORA70 Small nucleolar RNA SNORA70